rnacentral:rRNA from 1 species
CGCUGGCGGCGUGCCUAACACAUGCAAGUCGAACGGGGUUAUACCGAUUAAUCUUCGGAAGCGUUGAUAUAACUUAGUGGCGGACGGGUGAGUAACACGUGAGCAACCUGCCUUUCAGAGGGGGAUACCGUUUGGAAACGAACGUUAAUACCGCAUAACGUAUCGGUACCGCAUGAUACUGAUACCAAAGGAGCGAUCCGCUGAAAGAUGGGCUCGCGGCUGAUUAGAUAGUUGGUGGGGUAACGGCCUACCAAGUCAACGAUCAGUAGCCGGACUGAGAGGUUGAACGGCCACAUUGGGACUGAGACACGGCCCAGACUCCUACGGGAGGCAGCAGUGGGGAGUAUUGCGCAAUGGGGGCAACCCUGACGCAGCAACGCCGCGUGUGGGAAGAAGGUCUUCGGAUUGUAAACCAUUGUCUUCGGUGACGAUAAUGACGGUAGCCGAGGAGGAAGCUCCGGCUAACUACGUGCCAGCCGCGGC